rnacentral:rRNA from 1 species
AUACAGAGGGUGCGAGCGUUAAUCGGAAUUACUGGGCGUAAAGCGCGCGUAGGCGGUUAUUUAAGUCAGAUGUGAAAUCCCUGGGCUCAACCUAGGAACUGCAUCUGAAACUGGGUAACUAGAGUUUAGGAGAGGGGAGUAGAAUUUCGGGUGUAGCGGUGAAAUGCAUAGAGAUCCGAAGGAAUACCAGUGGCGAAGGCGACUCCCUGGCCUAGAACUGACGCUGAGGUGCGAAAGCGUGGGUAGCAAACGGGAUUAGAUACCCUAGUAGUCC